GACGAACGCUGGCGGCGUGCCUAACACAUGCAAGUCGAGCGGAGGUACAGUGAGAGCAAUCGAGCAGUACUUUAGCGGCGGACGGGUGAGUAACGCGUGAGCAACCUGCCUAUCACAGGGGGAUAAGGCGGCGAAAGCCGCUCUAAUACCGCAUGAGACCACAGUGGUGAAGCCACCGGGGUCAAAGGAGAAAUCCGGUGAGAGAUGGGCUCGCGUCCGAUUAGGUAGUUGGUGGGUAAUUGCCUACCAAGCCAAUGAUCGGUAGCCGGCCUGAGAGGGUGAACGGCCACAUUGGAACUGAGAGACGGUCCAAACUCCUACGGGAGGCAGCAGUGGGGAAUAUUGGGCAAUGGGCGAAGCCUGACCCAGCAACGCCGCGUGAGGGAAGAAGGUUUUCGGAUUGUAAACCUUGUUCUUGGGGAAAGAGGAAGACGGUACCCAAAGGAGGAAGCCCCGGUAACUACGUGCCAGGCAGCCGAGGUAAUAUCACGUGUA
rnacentral:rRNA from 1 species